rnacentral:rRNA from 1 species
AACGCGAAGAACCUUACCAGGUCUUGACAUCCUCUGACAACCCUAGAGAUAGGGCUUUCCCCUUCGGGGGACAGAGUGACAGGUGGUGCAUGGUUGUCGUCAGCUCGUGUCGUGAGAUGUUGGGUUAAGUCCCGCAACGAGCGCAACCCUUGACCUUAGUUGCCAGCAUUCAGUUGGGCACUCUAAGGUGACUGCCGGUGACAAACCGGAGGAAGGUGGGGAUGACGUCAAAUCAUCAUGCCCCUUAUGACCUGGGCUACACACGUGCUACAAUGGAUGGUACAAAGGGCUGCAAGACCGCGAGGUUUAGCCAAUCCCAUAAAACCAUUCUCAGUUCGGAUUGUAGGCUGCAACUCGCCUACAUGAAGCCGGAAUCGCUAGUAAUCGCGGAUCAGCAUGCCGCGGUGAAUACGUUCCCGGGCCUUGUA